AGUCUCCUUGAGGAAUAACCCCCUUUUUUUCCUUAGUAGGGGGGCAUUCAACUAACUACACUGUUCUGAAGUCUGAAAGAGGAGCAGGCUAGGACAUCUCACUGUUCAGGAUACAGACUCUUCCUCAACCUCCUGGUGGUUGGUAUGGUGCACCCAUGCUCUCACCUCUGCCUGGCUUGUGGACUCUGUCCUUAUAUUCCAUUUAGGGUCCCUCUAUUCUCUCCUUCAGUUGACUCACCUCUGCCCUCCAGCCCUUACUUUGGCCCCCCAUGGCCUGCUUUCCUCCCUGGCUAGCCCUCAGCUCAGAUAUGAUAACCCUAAUAUCUUUUCAUGAACUCAUGAUUUUUAUCUUUCACAUAA
rnacentral:lncRNA from 10 species